UUUUUUUUUUUGGUCUUUUUAGCCUCCUGCCCACUGCAUAUGGAGGUUCCCAGGCUCGGGAUCGAUUCAGAGCUGUAGCCACUGGCCUGCCCCACAGCCACAGCAACACAGGAUCCAAGCUGCGUCUGUGACCUACACCACAGCUCACAACAAUGCUGGAUCCUUAACCCACUGAGUGAGGCCAGGGAUCGAACCUACGUCCUCAUGGAUGCUAGUCAGAUUCGUUAUUGCUGAGCCACACGGGGACCUCCAGACCAUCUGUUUUCGAAGCUGUAGCUGAUCGUAGAGAUGAUGAUGACACAGCCAUGCUAUGGCUGUGGGGACACACACUGAAAGUGACACCACCUGUGCAUGCCGAGGAAGAGCAGUCUGUGGCAGAACCGCAAGGGCCGCCCCCCCUUUCCCACACUCUGUUCUCCUUCGCCUUGACCCCCCUUUGCCUGGAAGUUACCCGAAGCUGGGUCGCAAGUGUGAAACAGGAAUCUGCCAGACUCAUGCCUUCUAUCCCAGGAAUCCAGGGAUAGAAUGGACCCAGAGGGAGAGAGAACAGGGGACCCUGGCCUGGGAGCAACCAGCAUUACACCUGCGUGCCACCCCCAACUCUCAACAAGAGCCUACCUGCCCUCCGCACCCACCCUGAGGGUGAGGUUUGAAAAGACCACCUCUAUCUGGAAGGGGCAGGAAGACAGGAGUGAUUCCUCUGAGAGCAAGAGGGAAGCCCCAGGUGGGUUUCUAGAAGGGUCUGUCAGGAGCAGGAGUCAAAGCUGAGCUUUCACGAAGCCAAGAAACAGCAUCCAUGUUAGCAUCAGGACAGAACAGGCUGCUGCUGCAUACAGAGGCCACCCGCCUGCAGGUGUCUGCCUGCAGCAGAAACUUUGUGAUGAGAAGACAACGGGAGGGGGCAGAUGCUGAGCAGGGAGGGAGGGACCCCUGCAGAGCAAACACCCCAAAGAGGACCCCCAUCCCUGGUUUCCGCUGCACCCUGGGCUAUCUGGCCAAAAUUCUAACGACAAGCAUACGCCCAACAAAUCACACUGAGAGACACGCUGCAGAAAACCUCAAACAUGGAAAGGUCGCCAAAGACAAGAAAGACAGAUGGAGGAGACGUUGCACUGAAAGGAGAUGAAAGAGGCAGAACAAGUGAAUACCCCGGUGACUCUGGGUAGGAUCCUGGAACCGGGCCGGGGGACCGCUGUUAGCAGGAACAGCACACCGCCACAACGACUGGACCUAGAAUACUGACUGGGGGUUAGAAGACACCGUAUCCGUUGCGAUCUGAUUCCCGUAAUGACACUCUCCCUCUGCGGUUUUUCUUAUGCGAUUUACAACUAAACACUCUGGUCUCAGGUAGGACCCCAGUGGAUCAACACUCGGAACCUUACACACAUAACCCUUAUUGGAAGCACUGUGAUGGGUCCGUGCUGGAUGGGACCCACCUCGCAGGGUGGUUCCCCACCUCUGGGGCACAGCUUGUCACGAGGGCGAGUAAGUCCCCUACUGUGCAGCACACGGAACCAGAACCAGUCUCUUGCGGAGUUCCCGUCGUGGCGCAAAUGGACACAGAUCAGGAUGGUGUCCUUCUGGUGCAGCUGGAACCAGCUGGGAAGAGGACGGGAGGGCGGAAGGCAGCAUGGGCUGAGCACCCACUACGCGUCUGUACCCGCCCUGGAUGCUUGUGUAUUCUUCAUCUCACCGAAUACCCACAAUGCUAUUUUAAGACAGUUCCUAUUCCUGUCCCCACUUCAUUGAGGUGAAGCUGGAGGGGGGGGUCUCGGGGCUCACGCAUACAGCUGGAAAGUGACAGAACUGGGAUUGGGGCCACACUGACCUGGUUCUAAAAUCUUUGCAUGACACGGCAGGAACACCCAACCGCCCCCCCGCCCGGCCCCCAGUAUCUCCAGUAACCACACACCUGUCUAUGCCGACACCGCGAAUGAAAGAACCUCUCGGUUCCAGGGACCACCACUCACACUCCUCUUUCUGUCUGGUUCUGAUAAAAAUGCUGUACUUGUGUGGACUAAAACCUACUCCUUUGAACAGUCCCUCUAUUAGACUUUAAGUUCUCUUGAGCCGUUGUUGAGAACCAUCUGUUUCCACAGCAUAGACCCUGCAUUGCUUUUGCUUUUCAGCUUCAGUUUUUUCAACAACCCCUCAAGACCACACGAUCUCAGACUCCCUGCCACCCUGGCUGACACCGUCUAGAGCAGUGACGCUCGGGACAUCUUUCUGAGAAGAAGGAAACGCUCUGGGUCUGUGCUGCCUAAUUCUCCAGCCCUGGGCACACAGGCUCCCGAGCGCCUGAAAUGGGGCUGGUGCUGGAAAAUCGGAGGGUUCACAUUUAUUUAAUGUUUCAAAUCAUUGUUUUUUUGAAGUAUGGUUCAUUUACAAUGUGUCAGUUUCAGGUAUAAUUACUUCAAAUGUAAAUGUCCAUGAAUGGUGAGUUGCUAUCACAAUUAUUAUUAUUUUUUACUACAUAAUGAUUUUUAUUUUUUCCAUUAUAGUUGGUUUACAGUGUUCUGUCACUUUUCUAUUGUAUGGCAAAGUGACCCAGUCCUAUACACACACACACACACACACACACACACAUUGUUUUUCUCACAUUAUCCUCCAUCAUGUUCCAUCAUAAGUGACUAGAUAUAGUUCCCUGUGCUAUACUUGCUAUCAUAGUUUUAGACAAUAGCUCCAGGGAAAGUACACGUUUCUCUUAAAAACAGGUCUCCCGUGGAAACAACCUAAGUUUCCAUCCACAGGGGAAUGGAUCGAGAAGAUGUGGUACAUAUACACAAUGGAAUACGACGCAGCCACAAAAAAGAAUGAAACAACACCAUUCACAGGUCCAUGGAUUGACCUAGGGAUGAUCAUAUUAAGUGAUGUAUGUCAGACAAAGGCAAAUAUAUGAUAGCACUUACAUGUGGAAUCUAAAAAUAUGACACAAUUGAACUUAUCUACACAAGAGAAACAGACUCAAGAACACAGAGAACAGACUUGAGGUUGCCAAGGGGGAGGCUGCUGGGAGAGGGGCAGAUUGGGAGCCUGGGAUUAGCAGAUGCAAACUAGUAUAUAUAAAACGGAUAAACAACAAGAUCAUUCUGUACAGCAGAGAGAAUUACAUUCAAUAUCCUGUGAUAAGCCAUAAUGGAAAAGACUAUUUGAAAUGAGACUGGAUAUAUAUGUGUAACUGAAUCACUGUGCUGUGCAGCAGACACUAACACAACGUUGCAAAUCAACUAUACCACAAUAAAAAAAAGGAAAGCUAGAAAAAGGGCGGCUUUCCUAGAACUGGACACUGUGCUCCAGACGGAAUGAGCAGCAGCCACAUUUUCACCCGUUCGGACUUGGCCGUGCCACCCAGAUGGCUCGUCUGGCACUGAGAAUCAGCUAAAACCCCUAAGACUUGUGCACACCCCCUGCAUAAAGGCACCUCUCUUCCAAUCUUACCUGGCUUCCCCAGACAGCAUCCUCGGCUUCCAAACAGGGCAGAGGUGAAGGAAUUAAGUGGCACAGGAUCGGGGUGAGCUGCCUGAACUGUAUGGACCCUGCUCACUGACCUCACGGAGCAGGAACAGGAUGGCCACACGCCACACUGUUCUGAAGCCUAUAACCCUUGAAAGAAGGGUUUUGCCAAACCGCAGUUAAGGGAACUGCCUCAGAAGAAGAAACAUGUCAGGGCAGACAGCCUCCAUCACGGCAGCAUCCCUGUGCAAUGAGCCAGGAUGCAAGGCAGCCACAGCAGCCCAGGGCCAAGGUCAGGUCAGGUAAUCUGGAUGGGCAGUGGGGGUGUCAGGCAGGCGGGGAGCAUAAGGCUUCUGUGGACAAAGGCAGGAGAGACCAGGGCUCUGCCAAGCCAGGCAGAGGGCUGUAUGGGGUUCAGCCAAUGGUGCCGGCGCAAGCUCUGCACCGUGGGGGGGCUCCUACUGCCCCUGAAGUGCAGUUACAAGACUGGCCCAGAGGGCAGAUUCCAGCGAAGGGCACAGGACUGUGAAUCUGGGCAUAGCACCCCUGAAAAGACUAACGGGGUCGGUGCCCCUGCUGCUGCCCAGCAGGUCUGCGCAUGCGUGGAUGGCCGCGGACCCCUCCACACGGCGCCGCAUGGGUCCUGGAGCCUCGACGUCGGCACCAGAAGAACCUGUUCUCAGGUAGGGAUGUCAAUCCAGCCUCACUGUGCGCGUGUUUAGAAAUCCCCAAACGUGGUAUCUUUGGGUCACAGUCACCACCGAGCUUGGUGACCAUCCUUUUAGACUUCACCCCACCAAGCUCCACAAUUCCCCGUUUGACAGGAAUUUACCCUCAGGGAACCCUGGUUGGAAAAGCAGGGAAAAGCAGCAGACGCCCAGGGAGCUGCCGAACUAGAGACCCCUCAGGCUCCGGGUCUGCCUGAGGGAUGACCAGCAGGGAAACACUGCAGACAGAUGCCCGCUCACUUACAGGAAGGCGCCUGUGUGCUGCCACCUGCCGCCGGAACCCUCCCUUCGGGGGUCCGGCCUCCUCCACGCCCCCCUCCUCUGCUCGCAUCUAUGCACGUUUACCCCCCAAGCAGCCUCGUUCCGACCCUGGGUCCCACACUCCUCCUCCACAUCCAGACGGCAGCGGAUCCACCUCGGAAAGCACCUGCAGAACUUUCCCGUUUCCAAUGUCAGGACAAUUGGUGGUUCCGUCUAUGUGUCAGCCUGACUGACCACAGAGCCCCCCGGGUUAAACGUGGUUCCUGGGUGCAUCUGUGAGAGUGUUUCCAGGCGGGCUUUGCAUGUAAAUCAGUGGUCUUAGUACAAGAGAUCGCCCCCCUCCCCACCCCAGGGCAGGUGGGUACCAUCCAGUCUGCCAAGGGCUGAAGAGAACAAACGUUAGGGGAAGGACGAGCCUCCGCUGCUGCCUGACCACUGAGAUGGACAGUGCAUCUCCUGCCCAUCAGUCCCCCUGGUUCCCAGACCUUCAGACUCAGACUGAACCACAGCCCCGGCUGUGCUGGGGUCCAGCCUGCAGACAGCAGAUCGAGGGGCUUCACCAGAGCCCACAAGAGUCACCUGUCUCCAUGGGGGACCCACUGGCACUUCCCUUCCAUGUAAAGCUGACCGCAGGUGAGAGCCAGGACAGAAUCAAAGCCAAGGAAAAAUACAGCUGCACCCUUUCCAUACAUGCUGUUGACCAGGCCGUGUUUGCUUCUGCCCUCAGUCACGGGCAGAGUCUCCUGUGCCCAGGACACUCCUCCAACUUGUCCAAACUUGCGUUCCCUGGGUCCCUCGGAGCUUCUGAUUCCCUCUGAGAUUCUCAAAGUCACUGCAUCUCCAGCUGUCUCCCAUCAGUUGGGUUCC
rnacentral:lncRNA from 1 species